rnacentral:lncRNA from 1 species
CGGCCAAAUUCAAGAUCAAGCCUCGAUAGCCCUUGAGGAAAUCACAAGUCCGAUUCAAGAUCAAGCGUCCACCAUAUUUGAAUCAAAUCCAGUUCAAGAAUAAGCUGUGGAAAAUCAACAAUUGGAGGAAUCAAAAAAAUCCUCCAACCCAGUUCAAGAUCAAAGCUGUGGAAAAGUCAACAAAGCGCAAAAACAAAUACGUGCCGAUUCAUCCACUACCGAAGCCAAAGAUCAUCUACCACAUAAAGCUCAUUGUGGUCCAAUUUCAACCUUCAAGAUCAAGCCUCGAUGGCCCUUGAAGAAAUUUCAAACAAAGUCCAAGAACAAGCCUCAACGGCCCUUGAAGAAAUCUCCAGCCCAAUUCAAGAUCAAGCCUCGAUGGCCCUUGGAUUGACAACUACAUUAAGGG